UACAGAGGUCUCAAGCGUUGUUCGGAUUCAUUGGGCGUAAAGGGUGCGUAGGCGGCGCGGUAAGUCGGGUGUGAAAUCUUGGAGCUUAACUCCGAAACUGCAUUCGAUACUGAGAGUCUCGAGUCCGGGAGAGGUGAGUGGAACUGCGAGUGUAGAGGUGAAAUUCGUAGAUAUUCGCAAGAACACCAGUGGCGAAGGCGGCUCACUGGCCCGGUACUGACGCUGAGGUGCGAAAGCGUGGGGAGCAAACAGG
rnacentral:rRNA from 1 species